CCUACGGGUGGCAGCAGUGGGGGAUAUUGGACAAUGGGGGGAACCCUGAUCCAGCGACGCCGCGUGAGUGAAGAAGUAUCUCGGUAUGUAAAGCUCUAUCAGCAGGGAAGAAGAAAUGACGGUACCUGAGUAAGAAGCCCCGGCUAACUCCGUGCCAGCAGCCGCGGUCAUACGUAGGGGGCACGCGUUAUCCGGAAUUACUGGGUGUAAAGGGAGCGUAGACGGUGAUGUAAGUCUGGAGUGAAAGGCGGGGGCCCAAACCCCGGACUGCUCUGGAAACUAUGUGACUGGAGUGCAGGAGAGGUGAGCAGAAUUCCUGGUGUAGCGGUGAAAUGCGUAGAUAUUAGGAGGAACACCAGUGGCGAAGGCGGCUUACUGGACCGUAAAUGACGCUGAGGCUCGAAAGCGUGGGGAGCAAACAGGAUUAGAUACCCCUGUAGUC
rnacentral:rRNA from 1 species